rnacentral:rRNA from 1 species
CGCGUAGGCGGGAUGGCAAGUCGGUCGUGAAAUCCCUCGGCUCAACCGAGGAUCGUCGAUCGAUACUGCCGUUCUUGAGGAUUGCAGAGGAGACUGGAAUUCCCGGUGUAGCGGUGAAAUGUGUAGAGAUCGGGAGGAACACCGGUGGCGAAGGCGGGUCUCUGGGCAAUUCCUGACGCUGAGGCGCGAAAGCGUGGGGAGCAAACG